UUGAUACAAAUGGAAGAAAACAAGCAAAACAUCUGGCCCUUCAGGAUUUCUCUCUCAUGAAGACUGACAAAGAGUUUAGUCUGAGGGAGCAACCAGUACCUAGAUGGAGACCUUCCUAUUUUUAUUUCUCAAGAGGAUUAUCUAUAAUUCGUUGUCCUCCAGGAGACUCCACGGAAAGCCCAGAAGUGUGACUACAGGGAAAGUCUGAGAAGAAUUGCACAAAAUUGUUUCACCUGACAAUCAGGCGUUGGACAUCAUCUGGAUGAAUUUGGACUGUUGCCUUUGGGGAAUGCCGCCUUAGUGGAAGAGAGAAUACAGGGUCACUUCCACAUCCUACAGGGCUCGGAACAGCCUACCCAUCCUUCCCUGCAAAGAAUUAUGCAGGUCAAACACUGGUGGGGCUUAGAAACCUUGCCUAUACAAUGGCACUGGGUUUUGAUUCUACUGCAUGUACUGGCUUUGUGAGAACCUAGUCUAUUUGGAUGCUCACAUUCCUAGAACUGGAUGGA